UACAGAGGAGCCAAGCGUUGUCCGGAUUGACUGGGCGUAAAGCGCACGCAGGCGGUCGGGCGCGUGGGGUGUGAAAUCUGGCCGCUUAACGGCCAGGCGCCAUCCCAUACGGCCGGACUGGAGUGAUGCAGAGGUCGGUGGAAUUGCCGGUGUAGUGGUGAAAUGCGUAGAGAUCGGAAGGAACACCAGUGGCGAAGGCGGCUACCUGGCCUAAUACUGACACUGAGGCACGAAAGCGUGGGGAGCAAACAGG
rnacentral:rRNA from 1 species